GUUUGGGGUAGGGUAGAGGGGUUCGCCCUCCCUCCUCGUAUGAGUCCGAGAUGGGCGAUACGCGGAUACCAGGAACCUCCUGGACGCGGUGUGUGGGUGGCUGGGGCGGCGGCUCCCGCGAUGCAGCCCAUAGCUGGGGGGUGUGUGGGUUCGGUCGGGGUGCCUGUAGGGGUGCUUCGGCCGAUCUGUGAGGGGGACCGGGUCAGGCCCGGGAGGGAGCAGCCUAACCCUCGACCAUGCACGUUCCCAGCCUGUAAGGGUGAAGGGUUGGGUGCCGUUAAGCUCUUAGUUCCCCGCGCACUGUGUUUAGGGGGGUCCCGCUG
rnacentral:SRP_RNA from 1 species